AGCCAAGUUGUCUUUGUAUGCAUUGCUUGUUCCUUUUAAGUUCUGGAUCAGAAGGAUGAAUACUUUCAAGUAAACAAAAUGUCAACAAAACAUAAUGGAUAUUUUGUAAACAAUGGAAAAUUAGAGCAAAUAUAAGCUGAGUCAAGCAUCAA